GAAAAUAAACAUGCAAACAAAAACCCUAUUGGAACAAAAAUAUAAAUUUCUGGAAAACAUUAAAAGCACUCAUUUACUAAUGUAUUAAUUAAAACAAUAUUUACUGAGCACCUACUAUGUGUCAGAUGCUGCAUGCUAGGCACUAAAAAUAAAAAAGAAUAUAGCAUGGUGCUGUCUCCAGGUAGCUCACAGUCAAGUGGGCAGCAAGCAAGUGCUGGGAAUUCUCUGACACAUCUGGAAACAUCUGGGGGUGCUUCUCAUGGUGGGGCUUAUUCAUUAGAGCCCAUCCAGAAGUGCCACAUCAGUCUCCACGAAUUAAAAUCAGGAGAGCUUUGGCCAUUUCUCAUUUGAAGACCUUGGCUAACUGAAAGAAAUCCACAUUUUAAUAACAUUUUGAAUGGGUUGAUAAAAUAGGAACAGAUGGUUAAAGUUUGUCAUUUUAGGGAAAAUAAUGAAAUAUUGUACUGCUUAAUCUGUCUUCCUGUCACACUCUUCCCUAUCCCCUCCCUACUGAAAAUAUAUUCAGAUGCAACAAAACUUAAAGCAAAAUACUAAUAUCUUCUUAGACACUUUAGGUCUCUUCACCUGAAAGUGCUCUAAUUGUGUCAGCCAUCUCUGUGUUAACUUUAUCUUUUUUUUUUUUUCAGACACAUUCUCACUUUGUCACCAGGCUGGAGUGCAGUGGAGCAAUCUUGGUUCGCUGCAAUCUCUGCUUCCUGGGUUCAAGUGAUUCUCCUGUCUCAGCCUCCUAAGUAGCUGGGACUCCAGGCGCAUACCACCAUGACUGGCUAAUUUUUGUAUUUUUAGUAGAGACGGGGUUUCACCAUGUUGGCCAGGCUGGUCUUGAACUUCUGGCCCCAAGUCAUCUGCCUGCCUCAGCCUCCCAAAGUGCUGGGAUUACAAGUGUGAGCCACUGUGUACAGCCUUUGUGUUAACUUACUUUGAAUUAGCCCCUUAUUCCAAAGCUGCCUCCUGAAAGGAGGCUUCCUAAAAGGUGUUGCUUUGGGGUAAAUAAGAGGUGCUGGUGAAGUGAGACUAGCUUGCGCAUCUCUCUGCCAUGAAGGAAACUAGCUCCGCAGACGUUUUACUAACCACAGCAGACCCCCUCCUUGAGGAACCCAGAAGGGCAGAGGGCAUCAGAUGAAAUCAACUGCUGAGAGAGGGAAGUGAGUGCUGUGUUGGCACCGCUGCCAGAAACUCUUGAGAAUGAGCAUCGUGUGCCACUUAUCCACUGCUUGCCGACUUCAGUAGCAAGAGCCUCCAGAAUGCUCAUGGAUAAACAUCAUCUUUGUGGCCACACAUUGUUUUAUGAGCUGAGUCAUCAGACUGGCUGGCUCCUUAAAUGCUGCUGUGUGAUUCUCUAGGCAGCAGAAAACAAGGAGAGAAGAUAUGAAGUGUAUCUCAUCGAGCUUUGUAGAGGGCCAGUAUCAUUCACCAAAGGUGAUGGGGGAUUUACCAUUAUGGAGUUUGCUUGUGAUAAAAAAUUAUUGAUCAACUUAAACUCUAAGAGAAAAAGAUGAUGCUGUCUGCAUUUCUUGUAAAUUAUUUAUAAAAUUUGUUUGGGUAUCGGCUAUUUUUAACAGCCACCAGUCUUAACGAAUUUCCUGCAGAAAACUUGAUUCCUUCCUUGCUCAUCGAGUUGCAAUUUAUCAUCUAAGGUAAUGAGUUAAACCCAAAAGUAACAGUGACAUGAUAAGUGAAACUGUUUGCAUACUUUGUUUUUUAAAUUGCUCUAUCAUGUUUAUCUUUUUUAUAGCUACUCAAUAAGACAUUGCAAUGAAUUUUUAAUUAAAACCAAUAUGUCUAUAACAAAGAAAUUUAAUUAAUUAGAGUUUCUGAGUUUGCCGAUUUGUGACUUGCUGAGGUAAACAUCUCAGUUCUCUCUUCCAACCUAUUUCAUUAUGGUCUCAGAAAACG
rnacentral:lncRNA from 10 species